rnacentral:rRNA from 1 species
GGCCUUUUGAAUUUAAUAUAAGGUCUGACCUGCCCAGUGAUAAUUUUAACGGCCGCGGUAUACUGACCGUGCAAAGGUAGCAUAAUCAUUAGUCUUUUAAUAGAGGGCUGGAAUGAAAGGUUUAACGAGGAACUGACUGUCUCAUUUUAUUUGUUUUAAAAUUUAAUUUUUUAGUUAAAAAGCUAAAAUUCUAUUGGUAGACGAGAAGACCCUAUAGAGCUUUACAUUAAUUUAUUUUGAUAUUUUUAUAUUAAUAUUUCUAAUUAAAUUUAUGUUUUGUUGGGGUGACAAAAAUAUAUAAUUAACUAUUUUAUUUAAUUAACAUUGAUUUAUGAAUAUUAGAUCCAUUAUUAUUGAUUAUUAGAUUAAGUUACCUUAGGGAUAACAGCGUAAUCUUCCUCCAGAGUUCAUAUCUACAGGAUGGGGUUGCGACCUCGAUGUUGGAUUAAGAUAAUAGUUAGGUGUAGCCGCUUAAUUAAUAGGUCUGUUCGACCUUUAAAAUCUU